rnacentral:piRNA from 1 species
UGCGUGGCCCUGAUGAAAUGAAAUAUAAAC